rnacentral:rRNA from 1 species
UACGUAGGUCCCGAGCGUUGUCCGGAUUUAUUGGGCAUAAAGCGAGCGCAGGUGGUUUAUUAAGUCUGGUGUAAAAGGCGGUGGCUCGACCAUUGUAUGCAUUGGAAACUGGUAGACUUGAGUGCAGGAGAGGAGAGUGGAAUUCCAUGUGUAGCGGUGAAAUGCGUAGAUAUAUGGAGGAACACCGGUGGCGAAAGCGGCUCUCUGGCCUGUAACUGACACUGAGGCUCGAAAGCGUGGGGAGCAAACAGG